rnacentral:rRNA from 1 species
GACGAACGCUGGCGGCGUGCUUAACACAUGCCAGUCGAACGGUGAAGCGCCUUCCUUUUUGGUGGGUGUGGAUGAGUGGCGAACGGGUGAGUAACACGUGAGUAACCUGCCCCCUUCUUCUGGAUAACCGCAUGAAAGUGUGGCUAAUACGGGAUAUUCUGGGUCUGUCGCAUGAUGGGUCUGGGAAAGAUAUUGUUUCGGUGGGGGAUGGGCUCGCGGCCUAUCAGCUUGUUGGUGGGGUGAUGGCCUACCAAGGCGGUGACGGGUAGCCGGCCUGAGAGGGUGGACGGCCACACUGGGACUGAGACACGGCCCAGACUCCUACGGGAGGCAGCAGUGGGGAAUAUUGCACAAUGGGCGCAAGCCUGAUGCAGCGACGCCGCGUGAGGGAUGGAGGCCUUCGGGUUGUGAACCUCUUUCGCCAGUGAAGCAGGCCUGCCUCGUUUGUGGGUGGGUUGACGGUAGCUGGAUAAGAAGCGCCGGCUAACUACGUG